GAUGAACGCUGGCGGCGUGCUUAACACAUGCAAGUCGAACGGUGAAAGAGAGCUUGCUCUCUGGAUCAGUGGCGAACGGGUGAGUAACACGUGAGCAAUCUGCCCCUGACUCUGGGAUAAGCGCUGGAAACGGCGUCUAAUACCGGAUACGAGCUGCGAAGGCAUCUUCAGCAGCUGGAAAGAACUUCGGUCAGGGAUGAGCUCGCGGCCUAUCAGCUAGUUGGUGAGGUAACGGCUCACCGAGGCGUCGACGGGUAGCCGGCCUGAGAGGGUGACCGGCGACACUGGGACUGAGACACGGCCCAGACUCCUACGGGAGGCAGCAGUGGGGAAUAUUGCACAAUGGGCGAAAGCCUGAUGCAGCAACGCCGCGUGAGGGACGACGGCCUUCGGGUUGUAAACCUCUUUUAGCAGGGAAGAAGCGAAAGUGACGGUACCUGCAGAAAAAGCACCGGCUAACUACGUG
rnacentral:rRNA from 1 species